CGCCACGGCCGAGAAAAUAAACACCACACGAGUGCUGAGUUCAAUUGUCGCGUGGUCAUUAAAGGCGUACGUAAUAGCGAGCAAUGGUUUAGACUUAUGUGUAGAGGCGGGAAAUGCAUGAAAGGUGUCUUUGCUGAUCAAGGGGAGCUCUGGUGUGCUGGCUGUGAAAACCCAGUUAUGUUCCCUCGGGCAAGGUACCAUCUUGAACUUGAUGUCCUGGAUUCCACGGCAAGUGUAGUCAUUGUGUGUUUCGAU